ACGCGGUGCUAGGGGCGUUUCUCCCACCCGCGAACCUCCGCUGGUCUCCAAGCACGGCCUUGUCAGCUCCGGCUGCCGGUCGUGGAUGCCUCGGAGGGAAAGCUAGGCUCCCGACCCCGGAUCCCGGAGCGCCGGUGCCAGCCCUGCCCACCCGAGGGCACUGGGUAAUAAAGAGGUCCGCGGUAGGCAGUGACAAAGACUCUCGCCUUGUCCAAACUUGAGUUAGGUUCCUUUGAGCCCUAUUCUCGCCUAGGCCUCCACCUAGGCCUUCCAGUCCGGCCCGGUAUUAGCCCGAAUCCUGCUAAGUCAUCCCGUCACCCUUGAUAGCUGAUUGUGUUUGAUAGACCCAGUGCACAGCUGUGGAGCGACUGAGAUGAGCACGAGAAGAUCUCUGCCGUCCAGGAGCCUGCUGCCCACUUAGCAAGACCGGCAUGUAAUUAAAUGAAUAUUGUGUUAGAAGCAUCUGGGAGUUUUACCUGAAACACUCCUUAGGGAGGUGAUACUUAUGUUGUUCUUUCCUGUCUGUCUCCCACAACAGCAGACGUUUUCUUAGGCAUGAAACACAAAAAGCAAAGUAAAGUGGACUUGGGAAGAAUAGUCCUGAAGACUCCCUGAAGACGAGAGACACUGAUUUCCUCUCUUCUUUCAUUACUAAGCAUUUUGAAAGGAGACAGUAAUACAUCCUUCGUUUCCACGUUCUCUUUAAAGACUUCUGUGUUCUCACUUCUGUCCCCCGUCCUCUACUUGCACUGUUCUUAAACAUAGUAUUAUUGCCCUUUUCCAGUUUUGCUGCAGGGUAUUAAAGGAGAAGUCUUCUGUUAACACUGGAGCCGGUCUACAAAUGUGAGGAAGUAGUCGCAAGGGCUAGUGAAAUAUCAUGAAAAGGAGGUGAAUCUCUAGGAUCAGAGUUGCGGCCUCCUGGAUGGGCAAACCAGCUCCACCAAGAUAUUUUUGCACCAAGACUCUCCUUCAGGGUCACACUUGGAGGGCCUUAGUUUUAUGUUGUCGUUGUUUUUUUCGGAAGUCCACAGCACCACUUUAUACACAUUUUUUUAUGUCCUGGAUAAUGUGAACUACUUUUCAAAAGAAGUUUUCUGUGUGAGGAAGUUCACCCUGAGCUGACAUCAGUGCCAGUCUUCCUCUACUUUGUGUGUGAGAUGCCUCCACUGCAUGACAACGAGUGGAGUAGGUCCUCAUCCAGGAUCCAAACCCCUGAACCCUGGACCACCGAAGAAGGGCAAGCAGAGCUUUAACCACUCAGCAACCAGGCCGGCACCUAAUGUGAACUACUUUGAAAAGUGGAUCUAUCCCCUUCUGAGUGUCUAUGUCAUGGAAUACUUCUGAUUGGACUGCAAAGGAAACUUACAGGUCUUCCUCUGUUUUUCCUCCUCUUAAAAUCAGAGCCAGCAAUGCAUUUUUAGGAACUUUGUAGCACUCAGAGCCACCUUCCUUCAUCAGAACCUAGUUGAUGGUAUGUCCUAUUAACCUUGACCUAAAGAUAGUAUUCAGAGGCCCUCAGACCCUUUGCAAUUGUAUAUUAAAGUCUGUGUUUGUGCA